rnacentral:rRNA from 1 species
GACGAACGCUGGCGGCGUGCUUAACACAUGCAAGUCGAGCGGUAAGGCCCUUUCGGGGGUACACGAGCGGCGAACGGGUGAGUAACACGUGGGUGACCUGCCUUUAGCUCUGGGAUAAGCCUGGGAAACCGGGUCUAAUACUGGAUAUGACUCCAUGACGCAUGUUGUGGGGUGGAAAGCCUUGUGCGGCUGAGGAUGGGCCCGCGGCCUAUCAGCUUGUUGGUGGGGUGAUGGCCUACCAAGGCGACGACGGGUAGCCGGCCUGAGAGGGCGACCGGCCACACUGGGACUGAGACACGGUCCGGACUCCUACGGGAGGCAGCAGUGGGGAAUAUUGGACAAUGGGCGAAAGCCUGAUCCAGCGACGCCGCGUGGGUGAAGAAGGCCUGCGGGUUGUAAAGCCCUUUCAGUGGGGAAGAAAAGCCUCGAGCUAACACCUCGGGGUCUUGACGUAACCCAUAGAAGAAGCACCGGCUAACUCUGUGCCAGCCGCCGCCGU